UACGUAGGGGGCAAGCGUUGUCCGGAUUUACUGGGCGUAAAGAGCGUGUAGGCGGCCGCUCAGGUCCGUUGUGAAAACUGGAGGCUCAACCUUCAGACGUCGACGGAAACCGUGUGGCUAGAGUCCGGAAGAGGAGAGUGGAAUUCCUGGUGUAGCGGUGAAAUGCGUAGAGAUCGGAAAGAACACCAACGGCGAAAGCACUCUGCUGGGCCGACACUGACACUGAGAGACGAAAGCUAGGGGAGCGAAUGGG
rnacentral:rRNA from 1 species